rnacentral:rRNA from 1 species
UACGGAGGGUGCGAGCGUUAAUCGGAAUUACUGGGCGUAAAGGGUGCGUAGGUGGUUUGGUAAGUUAUCUGUAAAAUCCCCGGGCUCAACCUGGGCAGGUCAGAUAAUACUGCUGAACUCGAGUAUGGGAGAGGGUAGUGGAAUUUCCGGUGUAGCGGUGAAAUGCGUAGAGAUCGGAAGGAACACCAGUGGCGAAGGCGGCUACCUGGCCUAAUACUGACACUGAGGCACGAAAGCGUGGGGAGCAAACAGG